GACGAACGCUGGCGGCGUGCCUAACACAUGCAAGUCGAACGGAACUCGGGACUUCGGUUCUGAGUUUAGUGGCGAACGGGUGAGUAACGCGUGAGGAACCUGCCUUUCAGUGGGGGACAACAGUUGGAAACGACUGCUAAUACCGCAUAAUGUGUUUUGGGGGCAUCCCCGAGACACCAAAGCUUUAUGUGCUGAAAGAUGGCCUCGCGUCUGAUUAGAUAGUUGGUGAGGUAACGGCUCACCAAGUCUGCGAUCAGUAGCCGGUCUGAGAGGAUGAACGGCCACAUUGGGACUGAGAUACGGCCCAGACUCCUACGGGAGGCAGCAGUGGGGAAUAUUGGGCAAUGGGGGAAACCCUGACCCAGCAACGCCGCGUGAAGGAAGAAGGCCUUCGGGUUGUAAACUUCUUUAGCAGGACGAAGAACGUGACGGUACCUGCGGAAAAAGCAAACGGCUAACUAACGUGCCAG
rnacentral:rRNA from 1 species